rnacentral:rRNA from 1 species
GACGAACGCUGGCGGCGCGCCUAACACAUGCAAGUCGAACGAGCGAGAGGAGGUUUACUUUCUCAAGCGAGUGGCGAACGGGUGAGUAACGCGUGAGGAACCUGCCUCAAAGAGGGGGACAACAGUUGGAAACGACUGCUAAUACCGCAUAAGCCCACGACCCGGCAUCGGGUAGAGGGAAAAGGAGCAAUCCGCUUUGAGAUGGCCUCGCGUCCGAUUAGCUAGUUGGUGAGGUAAUGGCCCACCAAGGCGACGAUCGGUAGCCGGACUGAGAGGCUGAACGGCCACAGUGGGACUGAGACACGGCCCAGACUCCUACGGGAGGCAGCAGUGGGGAAUAUUGCACAAUGGGGGAAACCCUGAUGCAGCGACGCCGCGUGGAGGAAGAAGGUCUUCGGAUUGUAAACUCCUGUUGUUGAGGAAGAUAAUGACGGUACUCAACAAGGAAGUGACGGCUAACUACGUG